GGGUUGUGAGGUUAAGCGACUAAGCGUACACGGUGGAUGCCCUGGCAGUCAGAGGCGAUGAAGGACGUGCUAAUCUGCGAAAAGCGCCGGCGAGGUGAUAUGAACCCUUGACCCGGCGAUGUCCGAAUGGGGAAACCCAGUGCAAUCCGUUGCACUAUCGUUAACUGAAUACAUAGGUUAACGAGGCGAACCGGGGGAACUGAAACAUCUAAGUACCCCGAGGAAAAGAAAUCAACCGAGAUUCCCCCAGUAGCGGCGAGCGAACGGGGAGCAGCCCGGAGUCUGAAUCAGCUUGUGUGUUAGUGGAACGGUCUGGAAAGUCCGACGGUACAGGGUGAUAGUCCCGUACACGAAAGCACACAUGCUGUGAACUCGAAGAGUAGGGCGGGACACGUGGUAUCCUGUCUGAAUAUGGGGGGACCAUCCUCCAAGGCUAAAUACUCCUGACUGACCGAUAGUGAACCAGUACCGUGAGGGAAAGGCGAAAAGAACCCCGGCGAGGGGAGUGAAAAAGAACCUGAAACCGUGUACGUACAAGCAGUGGGAGCCUCUUUAUGGGGUGACUGCGUACCUUUUGUAUAAUGGGUCAGCGACUUAUAUUCUGUAGCAAGGUUAACCGUAUAGGGGAGCCGAAGGGAAACCGAGUCUUAACUGGGCGUUAAGUUGCAGGGUAUAGACCCGAAACCCGGUGAUCUAGCCAUGGGCAGGUUGAAGGUUGGGUAACACUAACUGGAGGACCGAACCGACUAAUGUUGAAAAAUUAGCGGAUGACCUGUGGCUGGGGGUGAAAGGCCAAUCAAACCGGGAGAUAGCUGGUUCUCCCCGAAAGCUAUUUAGGUAGCACCUCGUGAACUCAUCUUCGGGGGUAGAGCACUGUUUCGGCUAGGGGGCCAUCCCGGCUUACCAACCCGAUGCAAACUACGAAUACCGAAGAAUGUUAUCACGGGAGACACACGGCGGGUGCUAACGUCCGUCGUGAAGAGGGAAACAACCCAGACCGCCAGCUAAGGUCCCAAAGUCAUGGUUAAGUGGGAAACGAUGUGGGAAGGCACAGACAGCCAGGAUGUUGGCUUAGAAGCAGCCAUCAUUUAAAGAAAGCGUAAUAGCUCACUGGUCGAGUCGGCCUGCGCGGAAGAUGUAACGGGGCUAAACCAUGCACCGAAGCUGCGGCAGCGACACUAUGUGUUGUUGGGUAGGGGAGCGUUCUGUAAGCCGUUGAAGGUGUGCUGUGAGGCAUGCUGGAGGUAUCAGAAGUGCGAAUGCUGACAUAAGUAACGAUAAAGCGGGUGAAAAGCCCGCUCGCCGGAAGACCAAGGGUUCCUGUCCAACGUUAAUCGGGGCAGGGUGAGUCGACCCCUAAGGCGAGGCCGAAAGGCGUAGUCGAUGGGAAACAGGUUAAUAUUCCUGUACUUGGUGUUACUGCGAAGGGGGGACGGAGAAGGCUAUGUCAGCCGGGCGACGGUUGUCCCGGUUUAAGCAUGUAGGCGGAGGUUCCAGGUAAAUCCGGUACCUUGUUAACGCUGAGGUGUGAUGACGAGGCACUACGGUGCUGAAGUGAUAAAUGCCCUGCUUCCAGGAAAAGCCUCUAAGCAUCAGGUAACACGAAAUCGUACCCCAAACCGACACAGGUGGUCAGGUAGAGAAUACCAAGGCGCUUGAGAGAACUCGGGUGAAGGAACUAGGCAAAAUGGUGCCGUAACUUCGGGAGAAGGCACGCUGAUGUGUAGGUGAAGCCCCUGCGGGUGGAGCUGAAAUCAGUCGAAGAUACCAGCUGGCUGCAACUGUUUAUUAAAAACACAGCACUGUGCAAACACGAAAGUGGACGUAUACGGUGUGACGCCUGCCCGGUGCCGGAAGGUUAAUUGAUGGGGUUAGCGGCAACGCGAAGCUCUUGAUCGAAGCCCCGGUAAACGGCGGCCGUAACUAUAACGGUCCUAAGGUAGCGAAAUUCCUUGUCGGGUAAGUUCCGACCUGCACGAAUGGCGUAAUGAUGGCCAGGCUGUCUCCACCCGAGACUCAGUGAAAUUGAACUCGCUGUGAAGAUGCAGUGUACCCGCGGCAAGACGGAAAGACCCCGUGAACCUUUACUAUAGCUUGACACUGAACACUGGUCCUUGAUGUGUAGGAUAGGUGGGAGGCUUUGAAGCGUGGACGCCAGUCUGCGUGGAGCCAACCUUGAAAUACCACCCUUUAAUGGCUGGUGUUCUAACGUAGACCCGUAAUCCGGGUUGCGGACAGUGUCUGGUGGGUAGUUUGACUGGGGCGGUCUCCUCCCAAAGAGUAACGGAGGAGCACGAAGGUUGGCUAAUCCUGGUCGGACAUCAGGAGGUUAGUGCAAUGGCAUAAGCCAGCUUGACUGCGAGCGUGACGGCGCGAGCAGGUGCGAAAGCAGGUCAUAGUGAUCCGGUGGUUCUGAAUGGAAGGGCCAUCGCUCAACGGAUAAAAGGUACUCCGGGGAUAACAGGCUGAUACCGCCCAAGAGUUCAUAUCGACGGCGGUGUUUGGCACCUCGAUGUCGGCUCAUCACAUCCUGGGGCUGAAGUAGGUCCCAAGGGUAUGGCUGUUCGCCAUUUAAAGUGGUACGCGAGCUGGGUUUAGAACGUCGUGAGACAGUUCGGUCCCUAUCUGCCGUGGGCGCUGGAGAAUUGAGGGGGGCUGCUCCUAGUACGAGAGGACCGGAGUGGACGCAUCACUGGUGUUCGGGUUGUCAUGCCAAUGGCACUGCCCGGUAGCUAAAUGCGGAAGAGAUAAGUGCUGAAAGCAUCUAAGCACGAAACUUGCCCCGAGAUGAGUUCUCCCUGAGACUUUAAGUCUCCUGAAGGAACGUUGAAGACGACGACGUUGAUAGGUCGGGUGUGUAAGCGCAGCGAUGCGUUGAGCUAACCGAUACUAAUGAACCGUGAGGCUUAACCUUACAACGCCGAAGGUGUUU
rnacentral:rRNA from 2 species